rnacentral:rRNA from 1 species
GACGAACGCUGGCGGCGUGCUUAACACAUGCAAGUCGAACGGUGAAGCGCCUUCCUUUUUGGUGGGUGUGGAUGAGUGGCGAACGGGUGAGUAACACGUGAGUAACCUGCCCCCUUCUUCUGGAUAUCCGCAUGAAAGUGUGGCUAAUACGGGAUAUUCUGGGUCUGUCGCAUGAUGGGUCUGGGAAAGAUAUUGUUUCGGUGGGGGAUGGGCUCGCGGCCUAUCAGCUUGUUGGUGGGGUGAUGGCCUACCAAGGCGGUGACGGGUAGCCGGCCUGAGAGGGUGGACGGUCACACUGGGACUGAGACACGGCCCAGACUCCGACGGGAGGCAGCAGUGGGGAAUAUUGCACAAUGGGCGCAAGCCUGAUGCAGCGACGCCGCGUGAGGGAUGGAGGCCUUCGGGUUGUGAACCUCUUUCGCCAGUGAAGCAGGCCUGCCUCGUUUGUGGGUGGGUUGACGGUAGCUGGAUAAGAAGCGCCGGCUAACUACGUG